AUGACAUCAUUGGGCCACAACCGACAUGGUCACGAAGAGAACAAGACCAGCAGUUUAACCAGCAGCAUUCCAAUUACUGGUAUCGAGAACCGGCCCUUGACUGACGAACCGGAGAAGAUUUGGGGUUGGGAUGAGGCGGUCGUGACCCUGCUGGAGUCUGGGGGGGACCUCCAGCCCCCCGGGGGGGCCCUGACUCUGCUCUGUCGCGCCUCCGGGUUCGAUUUUGGGAGUUAUGGAAUGCUCUGGAUCCGCCAAAGACCUGGGAGGGCACUGGAAUACGUUGCACAGAUCGGAAACAAUGGCGGUUACAUCUACUACGCGCCGUCGGUGCAGGGUCGGUUCACGAUCUCCAGGGACAACGGGCAGAGCUCGGUGACGCUGACCAUGAACAACCUCAAGGACGAGGAUUCCGCCGUUUAUUUCUGUGCCAAAGAUUACAGCAAUUAUUGGGGUCCUGCUGCUGCUGCUUUUGCACGGCCCCAGCUCUCGACUUCCCCCAGCUGGGCCCAAAUCUCCGCCUUUCACCCCUGA